rnacentral:rRNA from 1 species
AAGGUUUCCGUAGGUGAACUGCGGAAGGAUCAUUGUC